rnacentral:rRNA from 1 species
UACGUAGGUGGCAAGCGUUGUCCGGAUUUACUGGGCGUAAAGCGCGCGCAGGCGGCACUGUAAGUAAGGUGUGAAAUCUCCCUGCUCAACGGGGAGGGUGCAUUUUAGACUGCAGAGCUAGAGGACGGUAGAGGGGGGUGGAAUUGCUGGUGUAGCGGUGAAAUGCGUAGAGAUCAGCAGGAACACCCGUGGCGAAGGCGGCCCCCUGGGCCGAACCUGACGCUGAGGCGCGAAGGCUAGGGGAGCGAACGGG